rnacentral:tRNA from 1 species
AAAAUCCGUCGACUUUAGAAAUCGUGAGGGUUCAAGUCCCUCUUCCCCA